rnacentral:rRNA from 1 species
GACGGAGGGGGCAAGCGUUGUUCGGAAUUAUUGGGCGGAAAGGGCUCGUAGGCGGCCAACUAAGUCAGACGUGAAAUCCCUCGGCUUAACCGGGGAACUGCGUCUGAUACUGGAUGGCUUGAGUUUGGGAGAGGGAUGCGGAAUUCCAGGUGUAGCGGUGAAAUGCGUAGAUAUCUGGAGGAACACCGGUGGCGAAGGCGGCAUCCUGGACCAACACUGACGCUGAGGAGCGAAAGCCAGGGGAGCAAACGGG